rnacentral:lncRNA from 1 species
AUGAUAUCCCUGGAAAAGCAGGAGGGAUGUUCCCAAGGAAUGAAAUCCCUGGAAAAGCAGGAGGGAUGAUCCCAAGGAAUGAUAUCCCUGGAAAAGCAGGAGGGAUGUUCCCAAGCAGGAAUAUCCCUGGAAAAGCAGGAGGGAUGUUCCCAAGCAGGGAAGUCCCUGGGAUUUCCCUGGAUGUCCCUGGGAUGCUCCAGGGGGCUGGAUGGACAAUGAUCCCAAAGCCAUGGAGUUUCCUGGAGCUGGGAAAACAGGGAAUGGCCUUGGAAUACUUGGGAAGGUGACACUGGUUUGUCACCUCAGUCAGAGAAGUGCUGGAUCCUGAGUUUCUCUGGAUUGGAUCCCGGUUUUCCUUGGCCACAUCCCUGCCCUGGGAUGUUCCAGGAGGGCAGAGGGACAAUGACCCCAAAGCCAUGGAGCUUCCUGGAGCCGGGAAAACAGGCAGGGAAUGGUCAUGGAAUGCUUGGGAAGGUGACACUGGUUUGUCACCUCGAGCGGAGGAGAAGAGCUGGAUCCCGAGUUUCCCUGGAUGAGAUCCUGGUUUUCCUUGGCCACAUCCCUGCUCUGGGAUGUUCCAGAAGGCAGGGGGACAAUGAUCCCAAAGCCAUGGAGCUUCCUGGAGCUGGGAAAACAGGGAAUGGUCCUGGAAUACUUGGGAAGGUGACACUGGUUUGUCACCUCGAGCAGAGGAGAAGAGCUGGAUCCCGAGUUUCCCUGGAUUGGAUCCCAGUUUUCCUUGGACACAUCCCUGCUCUGGGAUGCUCCAGGGGCCAGGGGGACAAUGAUCCCAAAGCCAUGGAGUUCCCCGGAGCCGGGAAAACAGGCUGGGAAUGGUCCUGGAAUACUUGGGAAGGUGACACUGGUUUGUCACCUCAGUCAGAGAAGAGCUGGAUCCCGAGUUUCCCUGGAUGAGAUCCCGGUUUUCCUUGGCUGCAUCCCCCUCUCCUGGAGCUGGGAGGUCUGGCUGAGUCCCAGCAGGACACGCCAGGGCUUGGAUCCUUCCCAGGCCCGGCUUUGGCAGGAGCAGCUCCAGGAAAUCUCCGGAGCUCCGCGAGC